rnacentral:lncRNA from 1 species
AGCAAAAAAUAAAAAGAAAACUAGAUCAAAUGCACUUUUAAAUCAGAUAAUUUUACUUGUUUGAUACAUUGUUUGUUAAUUUACUAAGUCUUUUAAGUUAUAGUUUAAGAGUUUAAGAUAUAAAAAGUGAUAAAAUUCCAAAGAAGAUGAUAAUAAAAGCAACUAGACCAUUAUCAAUUUUUGAAAUGUGACCCCCAUUUCUGCUAAGGCUUUCUUUGUCCGACUCUGAUCAUUACAGUGGAUUGCAAAGGAAAGAAGAAUUGGUGAUACUGUUCCGCGGUUGGAAAACUAGCUCGCCAAAACAUACAUACUUUGUUUAAAGUCCUAAAAAUGUUUUUAUGUUCUUUGUUUAUUGUGAGUUUGUGACCUCUCUAUAACCUGAUAAACUCGAAACCAUACAAUGGAUUCAACUGCAAGCUAGAAUAGUAUUUGUAACAUCUACAUUAUUCCCAUUGGAAGGAGGAAAAGUAAUUUAAUUUUUAACUCCAAAUGGUAAACCAAUCGGGUUGAGAAGAAGCUAGGACCAAUUAAGCAAUUACGCUUUUGAGGACACACAAAGUGAAAGUUCAAAUUCUUUUUGGUAACAAUUAUAAUGUUGGUACUAACAAAAGUUAGUUAGAUAUAUAGUAGUGGUCUUUUAUUUUAUUUUUUUAAUUAUCACAGAUUCAUAAACUAACUUAGCCGGUUGAGUUGAAUCUUGUACACAUACAUGAUACAUGUACAUUAAUUGAGUAUAUAUCUAGAAUAAUUUUGUAUUUUAAUCUUGUUUCUGAAAUAUUUAAAUUCUUUAAAAGACUUAUUUUAAAAAAUAAAAAAUGGUGCGGGAAGAUAUUGCGUAAGCACACUAAUGUGAUGAAAGAUAUUGCGCAAGCACACUGUUACAAGAGAGAACUUAAAAUACAUCAGUCGACAAAUAGAGAAUUGUUAUUUUAAAUAAUCUGUUUGACAGACCAAAUUCGAGAAUCUUAUAAUAAAUGUUGUUUUGUUU